rnacentral:lncRNA from 1 species
GGAGAUCUCCAAGGUGAGCCCAUCUAGUACAUGAUUAAAAGUGUAUGGGAAGACAAAGGACUGCAUUCUUUUUCGUGGGAUUAAGUUCCAAAACACCCUAGGAGAGCCGUUCUUGGUUUUGGGAUCAUCAGAAAGGUCCUAGGGAAGAUUCUUUGGCUUCAGUAUUGCUUUCCUCAAGCUUUUGUUUACAAAAAACUGCAUUCCUUGCAUAUGCAUAAAAAUACUUUGGGGAUGCCUUACAUUUCAGCUCAUGUUUCUGGAAAAAAAAAAAAAAAAAGGUAUGGUAUAUCCAUCUUACUGACUGCGCUUUCUUUGUCCCUUUGUUUGUAUUUUACCAAAGCAAAAAAAGAUUACAGUAUACAUAUAAUUUUAAAUGUAAAGAAGGAUCUAUGUGAUUGGUUUGCUUUUGAAUCUGUAACUAUAAAAAGUAUGCUUUGUGUGAAAGUGCACUCAAGAAUGUGCAGCUAUAUAUGAUACAGCACUGCUGGAUUCUAUUUAAAGACAUAGUUUCUAUUUUUUUCGGGGUCUCCAUAGUUAGUAUUAAGUAUGGAGUUGAGUGGACAUAACUGGGAUAGUUUUGCAGAUACUUCUUUCAGUACUGGUUCCUAAAAAGCCACAGUAAAAUACAGGGAAAAAUGGAUCUGUUGAUUCAGUGUCUUAAAUUAACACCUAGCAUCUGCAGUUGGUGCAGGUCAUUCAAGUAGCUUCAGCUGAAUUCUCAUAUGAUGAUAAAUCAUUCUAACAUGAGAGGCAUCUUUUUUUUAAGGUUUUUUUUUCCUCUGUAUUUCAAGGAAUAAAAAUUAGUUUGGAAGGAAACCAAGUAUUCCUUGUAAACUUCUUUUUUGCUUAAUUUUACAGUAUUUGAAUGAAGGUCUGCUUAAAUUGUGCUAGCUAAGAUUAGAUAAUUUCACACAGGUCUGAGCACAAUUUCACUGAAUGUAAGUUAUUGAUAUAUAUGUUCAUUUCUGUAGCUAAAAGAUGAGGGUGUUUAUAUCAUGCAAAUCCUUUUAACGUCAUUACUUUGAUUUAAAAAAACAAACUGCAUGAACUGAGUGGGUCACUUACUUCUUCCGAGGGUAAAUGAGAAGAAUUUCAGCUCUUUGUUACCAGUUAGCUGCAAAAGAGCCCUCUGUUGAGAAUUCCAUCUAACGCAAAUGCCUUAACCCACGGAGGUGUCCAAACAGAACAAACAUCCAAAGUCAGAGUGUCAAACAGCUACCAGCUCUUAGAAGUUGUCGCAGUCCUGGGAAAUCAUUCAGGAAGGUGCAAGCACAGACAGCUCUGGGGAAAAAACAGGCUGUGUGAACAUUAUCUUGUGGCAGACAUCAGUGCAAUCCCUGAAGUACUCCCAC